UGCGUAGGCGGCACCACAAGUCAGGCGUGAAAUCUAUGGGCUCAACCCAUAAACUGCGCUUGAAACUGUGGUACUUGAGUGAAGUAGAGGCAGGCGGAAUUCCCGGUGUAGCGGUGAAAUGCGUAGAGAUCGGGAGGAACACCAGUGGCGAAGGCGGCCUGCUGGGCUUUAACUGACGCUGAGGCACGAAAGCGUGGGUAGCAAACA
rnacentral:rRNA from 1 species